UUUCAACCACACAUUUUAUUAACUUUUAUCAAAAAAUUUACUAAACAAACAAAGGGUUAAUAAAGUGUUAGAAACUGAAAUUUCAAUUUUGACAGCUAAUUUUUGUAAUUUUUCCCUUAAUAAUCCUCAGUCUCACGCUCCCGAAUGUAUUACAUUGUCAACCAGAUAUCAGAAGAAGCUAAAUCAAUGAAAAAACAAUCACCACAAAGGCUCUCUCUCUAGUUAUUCACACGAUGAAACUUAAGGAACACAGAGUUCUAAAACGUUGGCAACAUAGACCACAAUGGCUUCAAGCUUUUGACUCGGGUUCGGCACUAGCAGGUUCUGCUCCAGGUUCGUCAUUAGCAGUCUCUGCCUCUUUCUCGCUCUCCUCAUCGGUGUCACUUUCAUCAUCUGUACCACAUUAGCAUGCAUAAAACGAUGAAAAUAAAACAGAAAUAUUCCAAAUUUUCAGGACUCCUCGAACAUCAAAGUUACCUUCAUUGAUGUCAGCUGCAUCCGCAUCGAAAUCCUCACCUCCACCCAUGUUAAGUUUCUGAAAUGUACGAGGAAGCAAGCAAAAUUUCCAUGGAAAUCAGAAUUCUAUCACCGUAAUAUUGUAUAAUCCAUAUUAUAAGUUUCUAUACAAAUAUUCUGCUCAUGUGUAUGCAAAAACAAAUCAAUCACUCUGAAGUCAAACCUCAAAGAGCUGCUACUCACCGAGAAGUCAAUGUCACCGAAGUCCAUAUCAGUGCCCGCUGCAAAAUUUAAAAGGUACAUCUGUUUAGUAAAAUAAGUAGCAAACUAGAAAAAAA
rnacentral:lncRNA from 1 species